rnacentral:rRNA from 1 species
GAUGAACGCUAGCGGCAGGCCUAAUACAUGCAAGCUGAACGGUAAAUGUUGUAGCAAUACGAUAUGAGAGUAGCGUAAGGGUGCGUAACACGUAUGCCAUCUGCCCGCAACAGGAGGAUAGCUCCCCGAAAGGGGAAUUAAUACUCCGUAAGAUCACGAAAGGGCAUCUGAUUGUGAUUAAACUCCAAGGGGUUGCGGAUGAGCAUGCGUCUGAUUAGCUAGUUGGUGAGGUAACGGCUCACCAAGGCGAUGAUCAGUAGGGGAACUGAGAGGUUGAUCCCCCACACUGGCACUGAGAUACGGGCCAGACUCCUACGGGAGGCAGCAGUAGGGAAUAUUGGUCAAUGGGUGAGAGCCUGAACCAGCCAUGCCGCGUGCAGGAAGACGGCCUUCUGGGUUGUAAACUGCUUUUGUCAGGGGAUAAAAUACCCGUGCGCGGGGAAUUGAAGGUACCUGAUGAAUAAGCCACGGCUAACUACGUGCCAGCCGCCGCUGUAACAC